ACGUCUCCAUCUCUAUAUCCGUCCAUCCAUCCGUCUGUCUGUCCGUCUGUUCAUCCGUCCACGUGUCCGUCCGUCCAUCUGUCCAUCUCUACAUCCAUCCAUGUGUCCAUCCCCGUGUCCGUGUGUCCAUCUGUCUGUCCGUCCGUAUGUCCAGCCAUCUGUAUUUCCAGCCAUACGUCCAUCUCCACGUCCAUCCAUGUGUCCAUCUGUCCGUCCAUCCAUCCAUCUGUCCUUCAGUCUGUCCAUCCAUCCCCCUGUCCCCGUGUCCAUCUGUCCAUCCAUCUCCACGUCCAUCCAUGUGUCCAUCUGUCCAUCCAUCUGUCCUUCAGUCUGUCCAUCCAUCCGCCCAUCCUCCUGUCCAUCCGUCUCCUCGUCCGUCCACCUGUCCAUCUGUCUGUCCAUCCAACCCUGGGUCCAUGCAUCCAUCCCUAUGUCCGUCCAUCCGUCUGUCCAACCAUCUGUGUGUCCAUCUGUCCGUGUGCCUGUCCAUCCGUCUGUCCGUCUCUACAUCCACCCAUUCGUAUGUCCAUCUGUUUGUCUGUCUGUCCGUCCAUGUGUCCUUCCAUCCGUCUGUCCCUCCACCUGUCCAUAUGUCCAUCUCUACAUCCAUCCCCGUGUCCGUCUGUCCGUCUGCCCAUCCAUGUGUCCAUCUGUCCGUCUGUCUGUCCGUCCAUGUGCCCAUCUCUAUAUCCAUAUGUUCGUCUGUCCUUCUGUCCGCCCAUCCGUGUGUCCGUUUGUCCAUCCACCCACCUGUGUGCCCAUCUCUGCAUCCGUCCGCCUGUCCAUCUGUCCAUCUGUCCGUGUGUCCGUCUCUACAUCCAUCCACGUGUCCAUCUGUCCAUCUGCGCAUCCCCGUGUCCAUCUGUCCGUCUGUCCAUCCGCCCACCCGUGUGCCCAUCUCUGCAUCCAUCCCCCUGUCCGUCUGUCCGUCUCUACGUCCAUCCACGUGUCCAUCUAUCCAUCUGCAUCCAUCCCCGUGUCCGUCUGUCCAUCUCUACGUCCAUCCACGUGUCCAGCUGUCCAUCCGCAUCCAUCCCCAUGUCCAUCUGUCCGUCUGUCCGUCUCUACGUCCAUCCACGUGUCCAGCUGUCCAUCCGCAUCCAUCCCCGCGUCCGUCUGUCCGUCUGUCCAUCCCUCCAUCCCCAUAUCCGCACACCGCCACACCCCCACAACGUCCCCUCAGUGUCC
rnacentral:lncRNA from 1 species